AUGCAAACUAUUAGGAGCGCCGCGGUGAUGGAAGAGGUCAACGACAACGAGCUACCAAUGGAGCCGCUGCACUACCCCGCGGUGGCGGCAGGAGCCGAGGAGCUACGGCCAAUGGGCACAGGUCGCGUUGACGACGAGAUCUGUGUAGCUCGUGGAGCAGUUGCAUCCGAGCAGGAUAAGGAACCACAAGCAUCUGAGCAAUCAAUUGGGCAGAUGAUCCAAAAACUCCGGCUGGACUCUUCGGUUGUGGCUGGUGAAAAUGAGGAACUAGAUUACAUCUUAAUGGUAAAGCAGGGGUGGAAACACACUAGAUCAUGCAGAUGUGUGUACCCUACAUUAAUAAGACUGCUUCGAUCGAAGGACAAUGAUUGGUACAUAGCUGAGCAUCGAGAACAUCACAACCAUUCACUGUCUCCAACAUAUGGGCAGACAAUACACUGGCCUUCCCACAAGCACAUUGAUACAUACAAUGGAGAUUUGGGGAGCAGCUGCGUCAGAACAAUGUCAAUCUAG
rnacentral:rRNA from 1 species